GCCCAGAUAGCUCAGUUGGUAGAGCAGGGGACUGAAAAUCCCCGUGUCGGCGGUUCAAGCCCGUCUCUGGGCACCA
rnacentral:tRNA from 1 species